GAUCAACGCUGGCGGCGUGCCUAAUGCAUGCAAGUCGGACGGGGUCAUCUUCGGAUGGCUUACGUGGCGGACGGGUGAGGAGCGCGUGGGCAACCUGCCCUUUGGUGGGGGAUAACCGCUGGAAACAGUGGGUAAUACCGCAUAAGACCUUUUGCCGAGUGGGGUAGAAGGGGAAAGCAUUUAUGCGCCGAAGGAGGGGCCUGCGUCCGAUUAGGUAGAUGGUGGGGUAAUGGCCUACCAAGCCGGCGAUCCAUAGCUGGUUUGAGAGGAUGAUCAGCCACACUGGGACUGAGACACGGCCCAGACUCCUACGGGAGGCAGCAGUGGGGAAUCUUAGACAAUGGGGGAAACCCUGAUCUAGCCAUGCCGCGUGAGCGAUGAAGGCCUUAGGGUUGUAAAGCUCUUUCAGUGGGGAAGAUAAUGACGGUACCCACAGAAGAAGCACCGGCUAACUACGUGCCAGCAGCCGCAGUAACAC
rnacentral:rRNA from 1 species